GACGAACGCUGGCGGCGUGCUUAACACAUGCAAGUUGAACGAACGACCAUUUUUCGAUAUUUUCGGAUUGAACAAGAUGGAAGUUAGUGGCGGACGGGUGACUAACGCGUGGAUAACCUGGCCUUUAAAUUGGGACAACAGCUGGAAACGGCUGCUAAUACCGAAUGUGAUUGCGAUGGGACAUCCCAUUGCAAUGAAAGAUGGCCUAGCAAAGAAGCUAUCGUUAAAGGAUGGAUCCGCGUCUGAUUAGCUAGUUGGCAGGGUAAAGGCCUACCAAGGCGACGAUCAGUAGCCGACCUGAGAGGGUGACCGGCCACACUGGGACUGAGACACGGCCCAGACUCCUACGGGAGGCAGCAGUGGGGAAUUUUCCGCAAUGGGCGCAAGCCUGACGGAGCAACGCCGCGUGAAUGAAGAAGGCCUUCGGGUCGUAAAAUUCUGUCAUUAGGGAAGAUCCGUCUAUGUGUGAAUAAUGCAUAGGCUUGACGGUACCUAAGGAGGAAGCCACGGCUAACUACGUGCCAGCAGCCGCGGUAAUACGUAGGUGGCGAGCGUUGUCCGGAAUUACUGGGCGUAAAGGGCGCGUAGGCGGGAAUUUAAGUCAGAUGUGAAAUCUCCGGGCUUAACUGUGGAGCGUGCAUUUGAAACUGGAUUUCUUGAGGACAGGAGAGGAAAGCGGAAUUCCUAGUGUAGCGGUGAAAUGCGUAGAUAUUAGGAGGAACACCAGUGGCGAAGGCGGCUUUCUGGACUGUAACUGACGCUGAUGCGCGAAAGCGUGGGGAGCAAACGGGAUUAGAUACCCCGGUAGUCCACGCCGUAAACGAUGGGUACUAGGUGUAGGAGGUAUCGACCCCUUCUGUGCCGGAGUUAACGCAAUAAGUACCCCGCCUGGGGAGUACGAUCGCAAGGUUG
rnacentral:rRNA from 1 species